rnacentral:misc_RNA from 1 species
UACGUGAGCCUCAAGCGUUACCCGGAUUUACUGGGCGUAAAGGGUGUGCAGGCGGUCGUGUUAGUCGUUCGUUAAAGCCCGAGGCUCAACCUCGGAUUCGCGAGCGAAACGGCACGACUAGAGGGCGCGAGAGGUUUGCGGAACUCAUGGUGUAGGGGUGAAAUCCGUUGAUAUCAUGGGGAACACCGAAAGCGAAGGCAGCAAACUGGCGCGUUCCUGACGCUGAGACACGAAAGCCAGGGUAGCGAACGGG